UUUGACCUCGGAUCAGGUAGGGAUACCCGCUGAACUUAAGCAUAUCAAUAAGCGGAGGAAAAGAAACCAACAGGGAUUGCCUCAGUAACGGCGAGUGAAGCGGCAACAGCUCAAAUUUGAAAUCUGGCUCUUUCAGGGUCCGAGUUGUAAUUUGUAGAAGAUGUUUCGAGUGUGGCUCCGGUCUAAGUUCCUUGGAACAGGACGUCAUAGAGGGUGAGAAUCCCGUAUGUGACUGGUUGCCUUCGCUCAUGUGAAACUCUUUCGACGAGUCGAGUUGUUUGGGAAUGCAGCUCAAAAUGGGUGGUAAAUUUCAUCUAAAGCUAAAU
rnacentral:rRNA from 1 species